CAAUAGCGUAUAUUAAAGUUGUUGCAGUUAAAAAGCUCGUAGUUGGAUUUCUGGUGGGAGCGAUCGGUCUGGCGCUUAGCGCGAGUACUUGCAUCGUCUCCGGCCAUCCUUGGGGAGAGUCUGUCUGGCAUUAGGUUGUCGGGCAGAGGAUCCUCAUCGUUUACUGUGAAAAAAUUAGAGUGUUCAAAGCAGGCUUAUGCCGUUGAAUAUGUUAGCAUGGAAUAAUAAGAUAGGACUUUGGUACUAUUUUGUUGGUCUGCGCACCAAAGUAAUGAUUAAUAGGGACAGUUGGGGGUAUUCGUAUUCCGUUGUCAGAGGUGAAAUUCUUGGAUUUACGGAAGACGAACUACUGCGAAAGCAUUUACCAAGGAUGUUUUCAUUAA
rnacentral:rRNA from 1 species